UUUUUACCAGUUGAGAGACGGUAAAGCAUCUGCCUACAAUGCAGAAGACCCAGGUUCGAUCCCUGGGUUGGGAA
rnacentral:tRNA from 1 species